rnacentral:misc_RNA from 1 species
GAGAUCGUCCAGCGCUGUGGAGGCACUUAUAAUAGGCAUUUGUGAUAUAUGCCUGUUGCUACUGGUGUAAUUUGUUUAGGUAAUAGGAUUAUCGGGGUGACAAUGCGCUUCUGUUUAUUUUGUAAUGCAUGCUAUGUGAGAUUAAAAACAAUAGUAAUAUUUAUUGAAGCAAAGCUUAUUGAUACAUAUGUAGCGGAUGAUCACCUC